rnacentral:rRNA from 1 species
GAUGAACGCUAGCUACAGGCUUAACACAUGCAAGUCGAGGGGUAACGAGAGGAAAGCUUGCUUUCCUUGUCGACGACCGGCGCACGGGUGAGUAACGCGUAUCCAACCUGCCCCCAACUAGGGAAUAACCUUGCGAAAGUAAGACUAAUACCCUAUAAUUUCCUCAGAUGACAUCUGACGAGGAAUAAAGAUUUAUCGGUUGUGGAUGGGGAUGCGUCUGAUUAGCUUGUUGGCGGGGUAACGGCCCACCAAGGCAACGAUCAGUAUGGGUUCUUAGAGGAAGGUCCCCCACAUUGGAACUGAGACACGGUCCAAACUCCUACGGGAGGAAGCAGUGAGGAAUAUGGGUCAAUGGGCGAAAGCCUGAACCAGCCAAGUAGCGUGCAGGAUGACGGCCCUAUGGGUUGUAAACUGCUUUUAUACAGGAAUAAAGUUAGCCACGUGUGGUUAUUUGUAGGUACUGUAUGAAUAAGGACCGGCUAAUUCCGUGCCAGCCGCCGCCGUAA